UGGCAGCUGUAAAACCCAGUUGAUAUAAAAAAACGAGAAAAGAUGAAAUGUAAAUGUUGCGUAGAACCUUGCUUGUACACGCAUUUUGAUGUCGUGAUGAAGCAAUACCGAUACGAGUCUGCCGGAAGUGGCUACAUGGAUUUUCUGUAUGGCAAUGAAGCGAUGGAAUUGGACGGAGACUUUGAAACGCAUAUUAAAAUGAUCACUUCGAUCCAGCCGCAAUAAAAAAGAGGACACGAUUCGUGUGGAAACAUCACCUUCAAAGCAGGACGAGAAAGUAGAUCUCGCUUUCGUACUCAAGAUCACAAGAUGAAACCGGUCUUGGCUCUGCUUGUUGUCGGCAUUUAAACAUUCUUGUUACAAGAAAUUUAAAAACUGGAGAAAGCUACCAUUUCGUGCAUUACUUCCAUUUAAUUUUUUGGGCACUAAGAAAUAGGAUACUUACAGUACCUACACAAAGUUUGGAAACACGGCGAGUGUUUCCGCGCUUCUAACACGGCGGCUUACGGCCAAAGUGUCUCCCUUUUUUACGCGAUAACUCACGUUUGAGUUAUCGCAAAGCAAAUUUAAAAAAAUCUUCUUGGUGAGAUCUUUUAAAUUUUUUAAAAUAAACGCUGAUUUUUGCCGAUUUUUUCAUUAAAUGUUGAUUUUUCUUCUCUCGUCGCGUGGAGCGUAUCCUGCCCCGAGGGAAGAAUAGAAGAGGGAAAACCGUCGGACCCCUUUGUUCUCUCCUUUUUCCUUCCCUCUAUUCUUCCCCCGGGCUAGGAUUUCGUCCCUGCGCCACGAAAAUUAAUCAGAAUUUUUCUUUAAAAAAUCGGCAAAAAUCAGCGUUUAAUUAAAAAAAUUUGAAACUUUGACCAAAUGAAGGCGACUAUGUCGUCUAC
rnacentral:lncRNA from 1 species